AAAAAGAUAAGCUAAAUUUUUAAGCUAUUGGGCCCAUAACCCAAUUAUGAUUAAAUCUCUUUUUA
rnacentral:tRNA from 1 species